CGACGAAGAUGGGAUUCGAACCCAGUGGCAGAGCCCAAUGGGAUUAGCAGUCCAUCGCCUUAACCACCGCCACCUCGUC